GUGUUCUGUUUCCAUUGAAUAGCAAUGCUCAGGCUCUCAAACCCUUCCUCUGCUCCCCUGCGGUGUGGGGGAAGGGCUGUGGCUUGUGCAAUGUCCUGGUGUUGGGGAGGAGUGGUGUCUUCAGGCACAGCUUCCUGCCUCCUGCACUCUUGUGCCUUUUCUGGCGUGGUGUGCUUGCCCUGAUCUGUGAUUCCAGUGCUGCCCUUGGUGAUUCACGGAGAAGGUUAUUUUACCCUGGGGACAGAGUGCCACACAAAGACUUUCCUGCUGCUGAAUGUGUGAACAAACACCAUCUCAGAGAAUCAAUAGAAGAAAUCUAAGAAGAAAUGCCUUGAUUGGCAAAGACUUCUGGUGGCCUAAAGAACAUGGGUGUGUUAUUCUGGUGACCCAAAGGUCUUCUAAUUUUGAAUGGAGCUCAGCACAAGAGAAAGCUCUUCAACAGUUCUGAAUUGCAGUGCAAACAGCUCUGUUAUCUGGGCCAUGUCAUCCAGCAGAUGUGAUGGUGUUUCAAGUGUCAGUGGCAGAUGAUGAUGCAGUUUGAAGCCUUUGGAAGGUUUGAAUACAGAAUCAUAAAAUGAAUGAAGCACCUGAUGGUCAAGGAAGAGAAAAGAAGAUGAAAGGAUGAAUGCGUAUUUGUUUCAUAAUCACUAACAGGUGUUAAUAAAACGUAUUGU
rnacentral:lncRNA from 1 species